AGCUCCAAUAGUGUAUAUUAAAGUUGUUGUGGUUAAAAAGCUCGUAUUUAGAACUUACACUUGUCUUUGGAUCCUCAUAUUUUGAGUGUUAUCUAAAAGACAAGUGGAUAUGUUCAUAUAGUAAAUUUUACUAUUAUGAAUCCUUACUUUGAUAAAAAUUAAUGGAUUAAACAAGACUUUUGUCUGAAAAAUUCCGCAUGGGAUAAGAAAAUAUGGUUAUCUAGUCAUUUAUUGUAGCUAUUGACUUGUAACAAUGAUAAAUAGGAACAGAUGGGGUGACUUAUAUUCCAGGGGGAAGGGUGAAAUCUUAAGAUCCUUGGAAGAUAAACUAAAGCGAAAGCAUUUCACAAAAAUGUUUUCAUUG
rnacentral:rRNA from 1 species